rnacentral:lncRNA from 1 species
UGAGCAACAAUUUUUCAGGAAGCCAGAUGUUUUUGAAAGUAAUUCUUAACAGCAUUUAUUUAGGUUUUUCAGAAGCUGAAAAAUAUAAGGUUUUUGAGAAAUCAAUUUCUUAUCGUUUGUUAGUUUUUGCUUGUAGCUAUCUUGUUUUUAAAGGUAAAUCUCCCUUCCACAUGACCUUUAAGUGAUACGGCAUCAUUUGCUACUGCUAUUACUAGACUGAAUUUUGAAUUAAAUCGUUAUAUUUAAUCAAUCCACUGUCGAAGUACCUUUUGAGCUCGCUUUCCAAAAUGCAGAGAAAACAGAUUACUCAAGUAAACAGAAGCUACAGUUCAGAAGCGUUAGCCAUGCAUGUGAUCUUGUUUAACCUUUUGAUUCCACGUCAUGUUUAUCAACGAGAUGAGAUUAACUGCUUGGCCUCCUAUUUAUGCCUGCCCAAACAUUUUGAAAAAGUUCUUCAAAGAUAGUAUGAGCUAAAUUUUAUCGUAUAUUGUUUAUUCUUUUUAUUGCUGAAUUGACAUUUUGUAGAGGUAUAUUAUUUCUAAUAGAAUUUUUUUUUUUAAAAAAAUGUAAUUUAAUCCCAGCAAAAAGAAUAAGUCUGCAAAAAGUGGCUAUCGAAGAAAAAGACCUAUCGAUAUUAGUGGCCGACUCAUUAGGUUUGACGAAAAAGUGGCUACUAAAUUACUAGAAUCUACCGUCCACUGGCUACUAACUGAAAAUUUUAAAUUUUUAAGUCUAGUUUGCACUAAUUAUUCAUCAUAUUUGAUAUCACCCCCUCAAAUUGUUAAGUCAUGGAACGUUAAAAUCCGAUUCUUGUGAUAUUGCAACUGGAAGAUGAAAAGAUCUUUGGAAUCACUCUAUGAAAUCGAAGUUUUGCGAAAAGUUUCGGAAACGCAAAAUAAACAACUUGCUUGCGUGUGAUUCCCCCACCUGGCUACCUUGUAUCCUUUUCGUCAGAAGUUUUAUUAGGAAAACUCGGUUCUGGUGAUUAAAAAGUACCGGAUGAUAAAAUUAAUAAAUUAUCUACCGGGAUCAUAGCGGAAGCAGAUCAAAGCGCACCGGGUGCCAGAUACACCAGGUGAUGGGUCAUUCUUGCACCCUCUCAAAAGGAUGGCGUUGGGAGAUGUUGGUCAUCUGCCCACCUUCACCUGAUGUCCGUUUGAAGAAAAAGGCCAGAUGUUAGAAAGAAGACGGUUGGAGUUCCUUCAAAAAAAUAGGUCAGCUGGCAUAGGUGCGGCAAUGUAAGUAUAGGCCAGCUUGAAGACGGAAUUCGGAAAUGCAUCUCUCCCUCAACGGAAUCGGGGGUUGGCGCGUGUUCCACGUCACUCAAACAACAUUAAAUGCAUCCGCUGGAAGAUGCAAACUUGUUUAUGAGUUAUUUUUGUAAUCUUUAUUUAUAGUUGUUGUAGGUUUCUUCGUGACCCUGGGUCACGAUCUUUUGAUUUUUAUUAUGCAUAGAGGAUAUAUGAAAAACCUCACCCAUGCUAUGUAUUUUCGAAUUCCUUAUAUGCAAUGGAGGUCUGAUUAGGAAAAAUCAAAAUUUAAGGCUAUACUUUUUUUUCUUCUCUUCAUAGGGAACUUAAAAACAAGACACCUUUGCAGUAAACGCAUGUUGUAACUUCUCAGAUUAAAGUGCUUGGGAUAUGUUGA